rnacentral:tRNA from 1 species
GGGCCCGUAGCUCAGUCGGUUAGAGCGCACGGCUGAUAACCGUGAGGUCACUGGUUCGAAUCCAGUCGGGCCCACCA